rnacentral:rRNA from 1 species
CCCUUAGAUGUUCUGGGCCGCACGCGUGCUACACUGAGUAAUUCAAUGGGUAAGGGAACGCUAGAGCAUUACCUAAUCUUGAAAUUUGCUCGUGAUGGGGAUCGACGGUUGCAAUUUUCCGUCGUGAACGAGGAAUACCUUGUAGGCGCAUGUCAUCAUCAUGCGCCGAAUACGUCCCUGCCCUUUGUACACACCGCCCGUCGCUCCUACCGAUUGAGUGAUCCGGUGAGGCUCUGGGACCUGGACGGAAAGAGCGUUUCGCUUGUUCUGUUUGGGAAACUUGGUCGAACCUUAUCAUUUAGAGGAAGGAGAAGGCGUAACA